AAAAACAAAAUUCUAAAAAUGGAAGAAGAUAUACAAGUUUGAGGGUGAAGAGUAUAUACUACGAAGAAAUUAAACAUUUCAAGAAGUUGAUGGUGAAAAGUCCAAAGAUUUGGGUUUUACUUUUCAUGGCGAUUAUAACGCUAUGUCUAGUAAUAUUGCCAUUGGUUCUGCCACCCCUUCCACCACCUCCACUGUGGCUUCUCUUCAUUCCAAUUUUCACCAUGUUUUACCUCAUUCUCUUGGCCUUUUCGCCUUCCCCAGUACCCACUCAUCUCGUGUAAAUAUUAAGUUUUUUCCUGAAUUUUCUAUCUUAUUUGAAUUUUGUAAGUGUUCUUUUUUUAAAAUUUUACCCCUCCCCUGGCCG
rnacentral:lncRNA from 1 species